UAACUCUGUGCCAGCAGCCGCGGUAAUACAGAGGGUGCAAGCGUUAAUCGGAAUUACUGGGCGUAAAGGGCGCGUAGGUGGUAGCGUAAGUGAGAUGUGAAAUCCCCCGGGCUUAACCUGGGACGUGCAUCUUAUACUGCGUAACUGGAGUGCAAUAGAGGGUAGUGGAAUUUCCGGUGUAGCGGUGAAAUGCGUAGAUAUCGGAAGGAACACCAGUGGCGAAGGCGGCUACCUGGAUUGACACUGACACUGAGGCGCGAGAGCGUGGGGAGCAAACAGGAUUAGAUACCCUGGUAGUCCACGCUGUAAACGAUGAAAACUAGAUGUUGUUGGGCUUAGACCCAUCAGUAUCGAAGCUAACGCGAUAAGUUUUCCGCCUGGGGAGUACGGUCGCAAGAUUAAAACUCAAAGAAAUUGACGGGGGCCCGCACAAGCGGUGGAGCAUGUGGUUUAAUUCGAUGCAACGCGAAGAACCUUACCUACCCUUGACAUCCAGAGAAUCCUGCAGAGAUGCGGGAGUGCCGAAAGGAAUUCUGAGACAGGUGCUGCA
rnacentral:rRNA from 1 species